GACGAACGCUGGCGGCGUGCUUAACACAUGCAAGUCGUACGGUAAGGCCCUUUCGGGGGUACACGAGUGGCGAACGGGUGAGUAACACGUGAGUAACCUGCCCACAACUUUGGGAUAACGCUAGGAAGCUGGUGCUAAUACUGGAUAUGUGCUCCUGCUGCAUGGUGGGGGUUGGAAAGCUCCGGCGGUUGUGGAUGGACUCGCGGCCUAUCAGCUUGUUGGUGGGGUAGUGGCCUACCAAGGCGGCGACGGGUAGCCGGCCUGAGAGGGUGACCGGCCACAUUGGGACUGAGAUACGGCCCAGACUCCUACGGGAGGCAGCAGUGGGGAAUAUUGCACAAUGGGCGCAAGCCUGAUGCAGCAACGCCGCGUGCGGGAUGACGGCCUUCGGGUUGUAAACCGCUUUCAGCAGGGACGAAGCUUUUUGUGACGGUACCUGCAGAAGAAGCACCGGCUAACUACGUG
rnacentral:rRNA from 1 species